UACAGAGGUCUCAAGCGUUGUUCGGAUUCAUUGGGCGUAAAGGGUGCGUAGGUGGCGCCAUAAGUCAGGUGUGAAAUCUCGGGGCUCAACCCCGAAACUGCACUUGAUACUGUGGUGCUCGAGUACUGGAGAGGAGAUUGGAAUUUACGGUGUAGCAGUGAAAUGCGUAGAUAUCGUAAGGAGGACCAGUGGCGAAGGCGAAUCUCUGGACAGUUACUGACACUGAGGCACGAAGGCCAGGGGAGCAAACGGG
rnacentral:rRNA from 1 species